UACGAAGGGGGCUAGCGUUGCUCGGAAUUACUGGGCGUAAAGCGCACGUAGGCGGCUUGUUAAGUCGGAGGUGAAAUCCUGGAGCUCAACUCCAGAACUGCCUUCGAUACUGGCGAGCUCGAGUCCGGGAGAGGUGAGUGGAACUGCGAGUGUAGAGGUGAAAUUCGUAGAUAUUCGCAAGAACACCAGUGGCGAAGGCGGCUCACUGGCCCGGUACUGACGCUGAGGUGCGAAAGCGUGGGGGAGCAAACAGGG
rnacentral:rRNA from 1 species